rnacentral:lncRNA from 1 species
CUGCGCUCCCCAGUGCUCGGACUCCCUACCUGGCUGCACUCAGGAACAUUUCAGCUGGAAAAAAAAAGAGUGAUUUAUUUCCUUCACUUUGGGCUUCUGAAGAGAAAGCUUGGUGACAUUCAGUCCUUUAAUUCUGUGCACUCUGAAGUUCAGCAACGUCGAAGCUCUCUUCUUCUAUGGAGCACAGUGGGUACCAAGGUGGGAGGUUCUAAUCAGAAGGUCAUCAGAAAACAAACUAGGCAGGGGUUAUAGGAAGUGUCUACCUGUGCGCCCAAGGAGGUCACUUC